UAGUCCACGCUGUAAACGAUGAUUACUCGUUGUUGGCGAUACACAGUCAGCGACUGAACGAAAGUAUUAAGUAAUCCACCUGGGGAGUACGAUCGCAAGGUUGAAACUCAAAGGAAUUGACGGGGGCCCGCACAAGCGGAGGAGCAUGUGGUUUAAUUCGAUGAUACGCGAGGAACCUUACCUAGGCUUAAAUGUAUUGCGACAAUCCGGGAAACCGGACUUCUCUUCGGAGCGCUUUACAAGGUGCUGCAUGGUUGUCGUCAGCUCGUGCCGUGAGGUGUCGGGUUAAGUCCCAUAACGAGCGCAACCCCUAUCAUUAGUUGCCAUCAGGUCAAGCUGGGGACUCUAAUGAAACUGCCUACGCAAGUAAUGAGGAAGGUGGGGAUGACGUCAAAGUCAGCACGGCCCUUACGCCUAGGGCUACACACGUGCUACAAUGGCCAGUACAAAGGGCAGCUACAUGGUGACAUGAUGCAAAAUCUCAAAAACUGGUACUCAGUUAC
rnacentral:rRNA from 1 species